rnacentral:rRNA from 1 species
UAGAUGUUUGAACUGAAGAGUUUGAUCAUGGCUCAGAUUGAACGCUGGCGGCAGGCCUAACACAUGCAAGUCGAGCGGCAGCACGGGUA